GCCGCGAUAGCUCAGUUGGUAGAGCGCAUCCAUGGUAAGGAUGCAUCCCUAUCAGAGGUGACUAAGCUAGGCCGUCGGCG
rnacentral:tRNA from 1 species